CAGGUCUCCUUCCCCGGUUUGCUCUCGCGUUCCCCGAACCCCCGUGCAAGCAGGUCUCCUUCCCUGCGGUUUGCUCUCGCGUUCCCCGAACCCCCGUGCAAGCAGGUCUCCUUCCCUGCGGUUUGCUCUCGCGUUCCCCGAACCCCCGUGCAAGCAGGUCUCCUUCCCUGCGGUUUGCUCUCGCGUUCCCCGAACCCCCCUUGAAGCCGCCCAACAGCGCUGCAGUGUGGCCACAUCUAACACCACUUGCAGC